rnacentral:piRNA from 1 species
UCAACAUUUCUGUUCAAUUAA